rnacentral:lncRNA from 1 species
UUCUCACUCUAAAACUUCUCUCUUAAAAGUGAAAAUGGAAGAAGAAAUGAAGUGUGGGAAAUGAGGGAAAAAGACAGAUUUUAAAUAGGCAUGGAGAAGGAUUGGAUGUGUGCCCCAUGGCAAGCAUCCAAGAAUGAAGAGUAAAGGUGAGUGAAGUGAUGUGUCCAUGGGACCUGCGACAUGGGGGAGGCAUGGGAGUUUUUCUCUUUUUUGGUUUUCCU